UCGAAUCCUGUCUUCCCGAUUCAUUGUACCCAUGCCGAACACAGAAGUUAAGCCCUAGAACGCCGGAAGUAGUUGGGGGUUGCCCCCUGUGAGAUAGGGAAGUCGCUUAGCU
rnacentral:rRNA from 1 species